GAUGAACGCUGGCGGCGUGCCUAAUACAUGCAAGUCGAGCGAAUGGAUUAAGAGCUUGCUCUUAUGAAGUUAGCGGCGGACGGGUGAGUAACACGUGGGUAACCUGCCCAUAAGACUGGGAUAACUCCGGGAAACCGGGGCUAAUACCGGAUAACAUUUUGAACAGCAUGGUUCGAAAUGGAAAGUCGGCUUCGGCUGUCACUUAUGGAUGGACCCGCGUCGCAUUAGCUAGUUGGUGAGGUAACGGCUCACCAAGGCAACGAUGCGUAGCCGACCUGAGAGGGUGAUCGGCCACACUGGGACUGAGACACGGCCCAGACUCCUACGGGAGGCAGCAGUAGGGAAUCUUCCGCAAUGGACGAAAGUCUGACGGAGCAACGCCGCGUGAGUGAUGAAGGCUUUCGGGUCGUAAAACUCUGUUGUUAGGGAAGAACAAGUGCUAGUUGAAUAAGCUGGCACCUUGACGGUACCUAACCAGAAAGCCACGGUUAACUACGUGCCAGCAGCCGCGGUAA
rnacentral:rRNA from 1 species